AAUCCAUAGGUUAAUGAGGCGAACCGGGGGAACUGAAACAUCUAAGUACCCCGAGGAAAAGAAAUCAACCGAGAUUCCCCCAGUAGCGGCGAGCGAACGGGGAGGAGCCCAGAGCCUGAAUCAGCAUGUGUGUUAGUGGAAGCGUCUGGAAAGGCGCGCGAUACAGGGUGACAGCCCCGUACACAAAAGCGCAUGUGCUGUGAGCUCGAUGAGUAGGGCGGGACACGUGGUAUCCUGUCUGAAUAUGGGGGGACCAUCCUCCAAGGCUAAAUACUCCUGACUGACCGAUAGUGAACCAGUACCGUGAGGGAAAGGCGAAAAGAACCCCGGCGAGGGGAGUGAAAAAGAACCUGAAACCGUGUACGUACAAGCAGUGGGAGCACAGGUUUACCUGUGUGACUGCGUACCUUUUGUAUAAUGGGUCAGCGACUUAUAUUCUGUAGCAAGGUUAACCGUAUAGGGGAGCCGUAGGGAAACCGAGUCUUAACCGGGCGUUAAGUUGCAGGGUAUAGACCCGAAACCCGGUGAUCUAGCCAUGGGCAGGUUGAAGGUUGGGUAACACUAACUGGAGGACCGAACCGACUAAUGUUGAAAAAUUAGCGGAUGACCUGUGGCUGGGGGUGAAAGGCCAAUCAAACCGGGAGAUAGCUGGUUCUCCCCGAAAGCUAUUUAGGUAGCGCCUCGUGAAUUCAUCUCCGGGGGUAGAGCACUGUUUCGGCUAGGGGGCCAUCCCGGCUUACCAACCCGAUGCAAACUGCGAAUACCGGAGAAUGUUAUCACGGGAGACACACGGCGGGUGCUAACGUCCGUCGUGAAGAGGGAAACAACCCAGACCGCCAGCUAAGGUCCCAAAGUCAUGGUUAAGUGGGAAACGAUGUGGGAAGGCCCAGACAGCCAGGAUGUUGGCUUAGAAGCAGCCAUCAUUUAAAGAAAGCGUAAUAGCUCACUGGUCGAGUCGGCCUGCGCGGAAGAUGUAACGGGGCUAAACCAUGCACCGAAGCUGCGGCAGCGACGCUGAUGCGUUGUUGGGUAGGGGAGCGUUCUGUAAGCCUGUGAAGGUGGCCUGUGAGGGUUGCUGGAGGUAUCAGAAGUGCGAAUGCUGACAUAAGUAACGAUAAAGCGGGUGAAAAGCCCGCUCGCC
rnacentral:rRNA from 3 species